rnacentral:misc_RNA from 1 species
UACAGAGGGUGCAAGCGUUGAUCGGAAUCACUGGGCGUAAAGCGCGCGUAGGUGGUUUGUUAAGUUGGAUGUGAAAGCCCCGGGCUCAACCGGGGAACUGCAUCGAAAACUGGCAAGCUAGAGUACGGUAGAGGGUGGCGGAAUUUCCUGUGUAGCGGUGAAAUGCGUAGAUAUAGGAAGGAACACCAGUGGCGAAGGCGGCCACCUGGACUGAUACUGACACUGAGGCGCGAAAGCGAGGGGAGCAAACAGG